CAUGUAUGAUUUCGGUCAUGUA
rnacentral:miRNA from 1 species